AAGGUAGCGAAAUUCCUUGUCGGGUAAGUUCCGACCUGCACGAAUGGCGUAACGAUGGCGGCGCUGUCUCCACCCGAGACUCAGUGAAAUUGAAAUCGCUGUGAAGAUGCAGUGUAUCCGCGGCUAGACGGAAAGACCCCGUGAACCUUUACUAUAGCUUUGCACUGGACUUUGAAUUUGCUUGUGUAGGAUAGGUGGGAGGCUUUGAAGCGUGGACGCCAGUCUGCGUGGAGCCAUCCUUGAAAUACCACCCUGGCAACUUUGAGGUUCUAACUCAGGUCCGUUAUCCGGAUCGAGGACAGUGUAUGGUGGGUAGUUUGACUGGGGCGGUCUCCUCCUAAAGAGUAACGGAGGAGUACGAAGGUGCGCUCAGACCGGUCGGAAAUCGGUCGCAGAGUAUAAAGGCAAAAGCGCGCUUGACUGCGAGACAGACACGUCGAGCAGGUACGAAAGUAGGUCUUAGUGAUCCGGUGGUUCUGUAUGGAAGGGCCAUCGCUCAACGGAUAAAAGGUACUCCGGGGAUAACAGGCUGAUACCGCCCAAGAGUUCAUAUCGACGGCGGUGUUUGGCACCUCGAUGUCGGCUCAUCACAUCCUGGGGCUGAAGCCGGUCCCAAGGGUAUGGCUGUUCGCCAUUUAAAGUGGUACGCGAGCUGGGUUUAG
rnacentral:rRNA from 1 species